rnacentral:rRNA from 1 species
GAUGAACGCUGGCGGCGUGCCUAAUACAUGCAAGUCGAGCGAAUGGAUUAAGAGCUUGCUCUUAUGAAGUUAGCGGCGGACGGGUGAGUAACACGUGGGUAACCUGCCCAUAAGACUGGGAUAACUCCGGGAAACCGGGGCUAAUACCGGAUAACAUUUUGAACCGCAUGGUUCGAAAUUGAAAGGCGGCUUCGGCUGUCACUUAUGGAUGGACCCGCGUCGCAUUAGCUAGUUGGUGAGGUAACGGCUCACCAAGGCAACGAUGCGUAGCCGACCUGAGGGGGUGAUCGGCCACACUGGUACUGAGACACGGCCCAGACUCCUGCGGGAGGCAGCAGUAGGGAAUCUUCCGCAAUGGACGAGAGUCUGACGUAGCAACGCCGCGUGAGUGAUGAAGGCUUUCGGGUCGUAAAACUCUGUUGUUAGGGAAGAACAAGUGCUAGUUGAAUAAGCUGGCACCUUGACGGUACCUAACCAGAAAGCCACGGCUAACUACGUGCCAGCCGCCGCGGUAA